rnacentral:rRNA from 1 species
GAUGAACGCUGGCGGCGUGCCUAAUACAUGCAAGUCGAGCGAACGGUCGAGAAGCUUGCUUCUCUGAUGUUAGCGGCGGACGGGUGAGUAACACGUGGAUAACCUACCUAUAAGACUGGGAUAACGUCGGGAAACCGGAGCUAAUACCGGAUAAUAUUUUGAACCGCAUGGUUCAAAAGUGAAAGACGGUCUUGCUGUCACUUAUAGAUGGAUCCGCGCUGCAUUAGCUAGUUGGUAAGGUAACGGCUUACCAAGGCAACGAUGCAUAUCCGACCUGAGAGGGUGUUCGGCCACACUAGAGAUGAGACACGGUCCAGACUCCUACGGGAGGCAGCAGUAGGGAAUCUUCCGCAAUGGGCGAAAGCCUGCCGGAGCAACGCCGCGUGAGUGAUGAAGGUCUUCGGCUCGUAAAACUCUGUUAUUAGGGAAGAACAUAUGUGUAAGUACCUGUUCACAUCUUGACGGUACCUAAUCAGAAAGCCACGGCUAACUACGUG